CCAAACCAACAAGCUUGCUUGUUGGGGUUGUAGGACACUCUAUACGGAGUUACAAAAGAACAUGUUAGACGAAUCAUCUGGAAAGAUGAAUCAAAGAAGGUAAUAAUCCUGUAGUCGAAAACAUAUUCUCUCUUGAGUGGAUCCUGAGUACGACGGAGCACGUGAAAUUCCGUCGGAAUCUGGGAGGACCAUCUCCUAAGGCUAAAUACUCUCUAGUGACCGAUAGUGAACCAGUACCGUGAGGGAAAGGUGAAAAGUACCCCGGAAGGGGAGUGAAAGAGAACUUGAAACCGUGUGCUUACAAGUAGUCAGAGCCCGUUAAUGGGUGAUGGCGUGCCUUUUGUAGAAUGAACCGGCGAGUUACGAUCUGAUGCAAGGUUAAGCAGCAAAUGUGGAGCCGCAGCGAAAGCGAGUCUGAAUAGGGCGUUGAGUAUUUGGUCGUAGACCCGAAACCAGGUGAUCUACCCUUGGUCAGGUUGAAGUUCAGGUAACACUGAAUGGAGGACCGAACCGACUUACGUUGAAAAGUGAGCGGAUGAACUGAGGGUAGCGGAGAAAUUCCAAUCGAACUUGGAGAUAGCUGGUUCUCUCCGAAAUAGCUUUAGGGCUAGCCUCAAGUGAUGAUUAUUGGAGGUAGAGCACUGUUUGGACGAGGGGCCCCUCUCGGGUUACCGAAUUCAGACAAACUCCGAAUGCCAAUUAAUUUAACUUGGGAGUCAGAACAUGGGUGAUAAGGUCCGUGUUCGAAAGGGAAACAGCCCAGACCACCAGCUAAGGUCCCAAAAUAUAUGUUAAGUGGAAAAGGAUGUGGCGUUGCCCAGACAACUAGGAUGUUGGCUUAGAAGCAGCCAUCAUUUAAAGAGUGCGUAAUAGCUCACUAGUCGAGUGACACUGCGCCGAAAAUGUACCGGGGCUAAACAUAUUACCGAAGCUGUGGAUUGUCCUUUGGACAAUGGUAGGAGAGCGUUCUAAGGGCGUCGAAGCAUGAUCGCAAGGACAUGUGGAGCGCUUAGAAGUGAGAAUGCCGGUGUGAGUAGCGAAAGACGGGUGAGAAUCCCGUCCACCGAUUGACUAAGGUUUCCAGAGGAAGGCUCGUCCGCUCUGGGUUAGUCGGGUCCUAAGCUGAGGCCGACAGGCGUAGGCGAUGGAUAACAGGUUGAUAUUCCUGUACCACCUAGUAUCGUUUUAAUCGAUGGGGGGACGCAGUAGGAUAGGCGAAGCGUGCUGUUGGAGUGCACGUCCAAGCAGUAAGGCUGAGUGUUAGGCAAAUCCGGCACUCAUAAGGCUGAGCUGUGAUGGGGAGAGGAAAUUGUUUCCUCGAGUCGUUGAUUUCACACUGCCGAGAAAAGCCUCUAGAUAGAUAACAGGUGCCCGUACCGCAAACCGACACAGGUAGUCAAGAUGAGAAUUCUAAGGUGAGCGAGCGAACUCUCGUUAAGGAACUCGGCAAAAUGACCCCGUAACUUCGGGAGAAGGGGUGCUCUUUAGGGUUCACGCCCAGAAGAGCCGCAGUGAAUAGGCCCAAGCGACUGUUUAUCAAAAACACAGGUCUCUGCUAAACCGUAAGGUGAUGUAUAGGGGCUGACGCCUGCCCGGUGCUGGAAGGUUAAGAGGAGUGGUUAGCUUCUGCGAAGCUACGAAUCGAAGCCCCAGUAAACGGCGGCCGUAACUAUAACGGUCCUAAGGUAGCGAAAUUCCUUGU
rnacentral:rRNA from 1 species